UACGUAGGGUGCAAGCGUUAAUCGGAAUUACUGGGCGUAAAGCGUGCGCAGGCGGUUGUGCAAGUCCGAUGUGAAAUCCCCGGGCUUAACCUGGGAAUGGCAUUGGUGACUGCACGGCUAGAGUGUGUCAGAGGGGGGUAGAAUUCCACGUGUAGCAGUGAAAUGCGUAGAUAUCAGGAGGAACACCGAUGGCGAAGGCAGGUCUCUGGGCUGACACUGACGCUCAUGCACGAAAGCGUGGGGAGCAAACAGG
rnacentral:rRNA from 1 species